rnacentral:rRNA from 1 species
UGGGGAAUAUUGGACAAUGGGCGAAAGCCUGAUCCAGCCAUGCCGCGUGUGUGAAGAAGGUCUUCGGAUUGUAAAGCACUUUAAGUUGGGAGGAAGGGCAGUUACCUAAUACGUGAUUGUUUUGACGUUACCGACAGAAUAAGCACCGGCUAACUCUGUGCCAGCAGCCGCGGUAAUACAGAGGGUGCAAGCGUUAAUCGGAAUUACUGGGCGUAAAGCGCGCGUAGGUGGUUUGUUAAGUUGGAUGGGAAAUCCCCGGGCUCAACCUGGGAACUGCAUUCAAAACUGACUGACUAGAGUAUGGUAGAGGGUGGUGGAAUUUCCUGUGUAGCGGUGAAAUGCGUAGAUAUAGGAAGGAACACCAGUGGCGAAGGCGACCACCUGGACUAAUACUGACACUGAGGUGCGAAAGCGUGGGGAGCAAACA